GAGGGACAGACUGUGAAUUGUACACUGCAUUAACAGACACCAUGACUGCAAACUAGCACUAAUAUGUAUUCUCUUGACUGUAAUGCACUUUUCUUCUUGACUAGUGUUUCAGACUGCGCAGCCAGACACGUGACUGGGAACAGCUGCUCUUCCUUUGUGUGCUGGGAAGAAUGAGAAGGAAAAACUUCUCUCCAAGUCAGUGUUAUGAAAAGAAAACACAGAAAAGCUGCCCUGGAACAAGAAGAAAGGAUUUCUUUCUCCAUUAAGACAACAUGUGCAGCCGGAACAUCAAAGACCAUGAGUGGAAAAGAAGCAAAAGGAUGCACAAACUCUGCUAACUUAAAGAUAUCAUACAACAUCUCACUUGGAUAAUUGGGUGACAUCAUUAACAAGACCCAUGGGUAAUCUUCAUUUCUAGGGAAGAGGAUAUCAUGGCAAUGGAGCCUCAGGCCUUGUCAUCCUUGGCUCCUGGAGCUGGUGAAGUUACUUCAGCCACAAGCCUCUGGACCACACUUCUUUGUUCAUGGCAAUAUCAUGACUUCCAUGAGAAAACUUCCUAUGUGCCUGCUACGUGUUCACUGUGUGGUGGACUACUGCUGAUCCUCAUGAUAUUGACUGAAGAAAGGACACAAAAAAAAAAUCAGAAGGGAAAGGAAAGAGACAUAGAGAAAAAUACACUUUUCAUACUUCAUGGAUGUAAUCAGAUUUUCUACUUCAAUCUGGCAUUUUUCGUAUAGAAUCACUGGGUUCCUGGUGAUGGAAUGAAGAAAGUAUGGUUAAUUUCUGUUUAUUUAAUGAAAAUCUUUUUCUUAGUCCUCUAAUACAUUAAGUAGUGUUUUUAUCUAACAGUGUUAAACAAACAAAAAAUCUUUUGAAAUUGUGAUUUUACAGCAUAUUUUUAUGUCACUUCUGUCUCUCUGAUUCAUUAACGUUUCACUGAUGUUUAGAGCUACAAAGAUGUAUUUCACUUAUAAUAAUAUUGCUGCUUAUCAUGAAAAUGAAGCGGAAACAUAUGGCAGGAUAUUGUCCAAAAAGAAAUAAAUAUUAAGAGGCUUUU